UCGAGCGGAACGAUGGAGCUUGCUCCAGGCGUCGAGCGGCGGACGGGUGAGUAAUGCAUAGGAAUCUGCCCGAUAGUGGGGGAUAACCUGGGGAAACCCAGGCUAAUACCGCAUACGUCCUACGGGAGAAAGCAGGGGAUCUUCGGACCUUGCGCUAUCGGAUGAGCCUAUGUCGGAUUAGCUUGUUGGUGAGGUAAUGGCUCACCAAGGCGACGAUCCGUAGCUGGUCUGAGAGGAUGAUCAGCCACAUCGGGACUGAGACACGGCCCGAACUCCUACGGGAGGCAGCAGUGGGGAAUAUUGGACAAUGGGCGAAAGCCUGAUCCAGCCAUGCCGCGUGUGUGAAGAAGGCUUUCGGGUUGUAAAGCACUUUCAGUGAGGAAGAACGCCUCGGGGCCAAUACCCCCGAGGAAGGACAUCACUCACAGAAGAAGCACCGGCUAACUCCGUGCCAGCAGCCGCGGUAAUACGGAGGGUGCAAGCGUUAAUCGGAAUUACUGGGCGUAAAGCGCGCGUAGGUGGCUUGAUAAGCCGGUUGUGAAAGCCCCGGGCUCAACCUGGGAACGGCAUCCGGAACUGUCAGGCUAGAGUGCAGGAGAGGAAGGUAGAAUUCCCGGUGUAGCGGUGAAAUGCGUAGAGAUCGGGAGGAAUACCAGUGGCGAAGGCGGCCUUCUGGACUGACACUGACACUGAGGUGCGAAAGCGUGGGUAGCAAACAGGAUUAGAUACCCUGGUAGUCCACGCCGUAAACGAUGUCGACUAGCCGUUGGGGUCC
rnacentral:rRNA from 8 species